rnacentral:rRNA from 1 species
CGAACGGGUGAGUAACGCGUGAGGAACCUGCCUCAAAGGGGGGGACAACAGUUGGAAACGACUGCUAAUACCGCAUAAGCCCACGGCUCGGCAUCGAGCAGAGGGAAAAGGAGCAAUCCGCUUUGAGAUGGCCUCGCGUCCGAUUAGCUAGUUGGUGAGGUAACGGCCCACCAAGGCAACGAUCGGUAGCCGGACUGAGAGGUUGAACGGCCACAUUGGGACUGAGACACGGCCCAG